AUGUACUUGCCUAAGUUUAAAAAAAAUCCUACCGAGUGGAGAGCAAUCCUCCCACUCGGGGGCUUAGCUGCAGUCCCGUACUCGCCUAAGUUUAAAAAUCCUACCGAGUGGAGAGAAAUCCUCCCACUCGGGGGCUUAGCUACAGUCCCGUACUCGCCUAAGUUUAAAAAUCCUACCGAGUGGAGAGCAAUCCGCCCACUCGGGGGCUUAGCUGCAGUCCCGUACUCGCCUAAGUUUAAAAAAUCCUACCGAGUGGAGAGCAAUCCUCCCACUCGAGGGCUUAGCUGCAGUCACAUACUCACCUAA
rnacentral:rRNA from 1 species